rnacentral:lncRNA from 1 species
GGUAAGGGAUGCUGCCCUCUCCCAGGGCCUGUGAGCCCCACCUGGCACAGGGAUGUGCCAGCUUAGAUCCAGUCCACGAGGGUAGGAAGGAAAGCAACGAGGCUGCCUUUGAAGGGGGAGAGCACCAUGCCCAGACUAGGGACAGCACCCUUUGUAGCUAAUCUGAGAGGACAACCCAAAAAGAUGAAGCAUCCUGGCCAGCAGGGGGAGCUGGGGCCACACUGGGGCAGGGGCAUUUGCCUGCCCCAGAGUUGGGAAUGAGCAGGGAUAGACUGAGAGUAGUCACAGCGGCUCAGGCCUCAUCUCCGCAGAGGCGACCAGCCUCCAAUCCUCCCACAAUGGAGAGAGCCCUAUGGAGGGGACAGGACAGGUCUGGUCACUUGAAAGGACUAUCUGGGCCUUGAAGCAAGUGGACACAUGCUCGUUUUCUAGUCAUUAGGUCAGUUCCCUGAGUCUACAUGGAUUCAACAUGAAAUGCUGUCUUGGGAAGCUGCCCCUUAGGGAAACUACCCUUGGAACUUCUCUAAAUUUCUCCCCCAAAGUUCUAUGAGGCCCAGGGAUGAGAAGACUUCUCAAGACCUCAACUGCCUCCUCUGACCAACCCAGACCCUCACCUGCCUCACCCUGCACAGACCCAGACUGCGAGCUCUGGACGAAACUGAAGGGAGGCAGACAGGAGUGUGGGGCCGUCUGAAGCCAGAGGGAUGAGGAGAGGUCCAUCUAUAAAGCUGAAAAAGAACCCCUCCCUCCCCAUCAUAUGCUGCUUUCUCUGCCUCUAGUUUUAUCCCCUCCCAUUUGCUCUCCACAGAGUAAACCAAAUGGUC